UCUGUUUAAUUACAAAAUUCUGCCCAAAGUAAUUAGUUAAUUAAUUACUGACCUUCAUUUUUCUUGGAGUAUUUUUUAAUCUUUAUUUAGUUGAGUAGUUGUUGCUUCUCAUAAUCUGGAUUCGAACAUUACUCAAAUAUUCACUAUUCACUGUAUACCUGUAACUCUACCUCUUCACUACUUUACUUUAACUGAUGCUCUCAAACUUUACAUUAAGAGACAAGAAAUUCAAGUAAUUAACUCUUGAUGAGUUCAGCACAGCUGUUAACUGAAAGCCUGAAUUCCAGGAGACUCUACCUCAUAAAACUGACUGAGAAAAUCCAGCAGAGAUGUUCAAAACUCAUCAUCUAAAUAAGUUUAAUUCAGAGCUUUGAGACGAGCGAUAAUGAUACCCAGCUGCAGCAAAUUAACGGACCAGCCUCCAGAGAAUGGCUUCAUUUCACCCUGGACUGGAUUCCAAACAGGACACCUCUCACGCUUUCCUCACGCCAGCCUCACGUCACCCAACACAUCUGCCACCAGCUGCUGGAGCUGCCACACAGCACAAACACCACAUUCUGCUGGCAGCCGGCACUCCCAGCUGGAGGAACAGGAAAUCUCCCAUAGGUCAGCGGUGCUAACAGGAAGCAGGGCUACAAGCAGAUCUUUGGAGAUUCUCCUACAAGACUGUCACGUAGACCCAGGCAGGAAGACGAGGAGGCGGACACAAGUGCAGGUAGGGUGAAAAUAAAUAAUAAUUUAAUACAUAAAUAACA
rnacentral:lncRNA from 1 species